rnacentral:rRNA from 1 species
AUUGAACGCUGGCGGCAGGCCUAACACAUGCAAGUCGAGCGGAUUUUGGGGGCUUGCUCCCAAGGUUAGCGGCGGACGGGUGAGUAACGCGUAGGAAUUUGCCCAGUAGUGGGGGAUAACGUUCCGAAAGGAACGCUAAUACCGCAUACGCCCCAUGGGGGAAAGCAGGGGAUCUUAGGACCUUGCGCUACUGGAGAAGCAUGCGUCGGAUUAGCUAGUUGGUAGGGUAAAGGCCUACCAAGGCGACGAUCCGUAGCUGGUCUGAGAGGAUGAUCAGCCACACUGGGACUGAGACACGGCCCAGACUCCUACGGGAGGCAGCAGUGGGGAAUAUUGGACAAUGGGGGCAACCCUGAUCCAGCCAUGCCGCGUGUGUGAAGAAGGCCUUCGGGUUGUAAAGCACUUUCAGUAGGGAGGAAAAGUUGGCGGCUAAUAUCCGUUGACCCUGACGUUACCUACAGAAGAAGCACCAGCAAACUCCGUGCCAGCCGCCGCAGUAA